rnacentral:rRNA from 1 species
UACGGGGGGGGCAAGCGUUGUUCGGAAUUACUGGGCGUAAAGCGCGUGUAGGCGGUCCGGUAAGUCCGCUGUGAAAGUCGGGGGCUCAACCCUCGAAUGCCGGUGGAUACUGUCGGGCUAGAGUGCGGAAGAGGCGAGUGGAAUUCCUGGUGUAGCGGUGAAAUGCGCAGAUAUCAGGAGGAACACCUAUUGCGAAGGCAGCUCGCUGGGACGUAACUGACGCUGAGACGCGAAAGCGUGGGGAGCAAACAGG